rnacentral:lncRNA from 1 species
UAAUCACAUCACAUGGAAAUUAGCCAGUGGAGUCACCGAACCCCCGAUGAGUCGUCCUCCCACAUGGCUCAUCCUCUCACAUGUGCACCAGGGAGCCGAUCCCCCAUACUGGCCGACCGGUCUAAUCCUCACUUGACCAGCCCUCUCAUGAUUUUUCUAUCCUCUCUUUUCUUUUUCAUACCAACAGGAGGCGACCCGGUGGUCUCCAUCCAAUCUAGAUCAUCA